AAGGAAGAAAAUGAGAAGGGUCAUGACUCACUGGUGCAAAUGCACUGGUGACCAGGAGAGAGAGUCAGGGCCAAGGCCUCCAGGAAGACAAAGAGCCCUCGCACCCACCCACCUCUGCCCCUCGUUCCCCCCUCUCCACCCCCUCACUCCUCCUGCCCCAUCCCCAGGUGAAAACCAGAGGGAAUUCUUUUUGGAAAUGGAAUUUGAUAUUGUGAUUCAGCACUAGAAAAACUUCCAAUUUGAAGAAGCAGAAUCUUAAAAAGGGUUAAAGAAGAUUCUAGAGUUAGAAAGGGAAAGCCCGGGGUAAAGGACUGGGAUUAUUUAGCCAAAAGCAAGGGCUGGAAGAUCAAGAAAAGGCCACAGGCCCAGAAUGUCUUGAUGUUAAAGUCUGUUUUCAUUGGAGGGAGAAAAGAAAGAAAGGAGGGAGGCAGGGAGGAAGGAAGGAAAGAGAAAAUAAAAGCAAUGACUUCUCCGACUCUACCUCCUCACCAAAGUGGAUUUUCCAAGAGAAAACCUCUCACCUCCAACCCCCACGAGCAAAAAACAUUCCCCAGGGUAAAGUUUAGCUAAACGGGUGAAAUCAAGAAAUGAAUGGUACUCAGUGCAGGAACUAAAAAUUAUUUCCCGAUCGGUCUGCCAGCAGCUUUUAAUAACAGCUUUUUAUUUGGAAUAACAUCCAGGCCUCCUUUCUGCAGGAAUCCACAGGAUAAUGCAAAGCAACUAUGCUAAGAGCUGGGGGAAGUCUGAAGAGAGAGAGAGAGCUGGUAUGGAGAGAGGGGAGACGCCUGCAUCGGCAAAGCUGAAAGAAGUAGAAAGUACCAAAGACGAUGUGGAUGAAGGCCUGGCUACCUGGAGAACAGCUAAGGAAAAACAGCAACACCAACGUGGGCACCAGCUAAGGGAGAGACGACAACCGGAAAGCUGUUUCUUCAACGAGCCCCAGAGGUGACCUACACCUGCAAUGCCAUCUUGAUUUGCAAACUUAAUCCACCUCCGCAGAGAGGAGAGGAGACACAGAAUAUUCCAAAGACCUUAAAGAAGCCAGUAACAUCUCGUAGGCGCUUUUCAAACGCAAAACAUACCACCAAGACCUGCAUAGCCACAGCAGCAUCACAUCGCUUAACCGGCGGGCAUGGCUUUUUCUUCUGUCUGGGACACAUCCGCCUGGUGGAGCAAAGACUGUACAGUUCUCAGAGUGUAAUAUGUCCCAGGAUGCUCUGAGGAACUCAAUAAAAAUGUGGAUCUGCAUGGCCCACUCUCAGACAGUCUGGGUCAGAAGGCAGGGGUGGGGCCGGGGACUCUGCAUUUCUGCAAUCUUUCAGAGAAUUCUGAUCAUUCUGCGGCCCCUUCUUUGAGAAACAAGACAGUGUGUAUAAAGAAUACACUAUUGAUCAACAACAACGUAGUAAGUGAUCGUAUUUAAAGUCAUCCUCACACUGCUUUUAAUGAAUUCCUAUCCUAAUGUCUGAACAUAGUGCUAGAAUUAUUUCCCUUGGGAGCAAAUGUGAUCAUUAGAAGCUCAAACUUUUCCCAGUAAGUAUUGAUUCUAGGAAUCAUCUGACAGUUUUAUCUGACAUUUAAUUUGCCAUCCAACUCCUGCCAUUUAUCAAAUCCAGGGAAACCGCCGACCUUUCACCCUCAUCGGUUACUAUUUAGAACCAAAUCUUCACACUAUUCACCCUCAAAGCCAGAUACCUUAAAACCAGAAAUCAAAUUAGUCCUUUUGGUCCUGGCUAUUGAAAAGGAAACAGAAAAAGAAAACUAUAAAUGGCUGACAUAACAAAUAUCACACGUAGUAUCGAACCCCUUGGACACACUCUAAGCUCUAGGCCAAGGAGAAACAGCAUGAAUCGAUUUUUUUUUUUCCCCAGGAAAGUCCCAAAUGGA